rnacentral:misc_RNA from 1 species
AAGAGAGGAAAAAAAAAUAUAUGAAGCUGCAAUUCAAUGAUAUUAAAAUCAUUUUCAGCACCGUAACGUGAAUAUUUUGAUCUCCAAUCUUAAGAUCGCCGCACAGGAAUUGGAGGUGCUGAUGGUGCAGAGGCAGUAUAGCUCAGGUUAACUUGUUGGGGCAGAAGAUUAUAUUCAAUCUUAAGCUCUUCAAAAAUUUGUUUCAUCUGUAGCACUAGCUCUGAUCUCCGCUUGGCCCUCUUUGAGAAAUAAUGAAAGUUUAUUGUGUGAUUAACAAAGAGAGCUACCUUCAUCUUAUUCACAUCCUCAAUCUCCUUGAACUGUAAACUGUGUUCAGCACGCCACCUCCUCGGAUUACUCUCCAAAUACCUUUUUAUAUUAUCUUGCAGAUCGUUGAUAAUCUCCAUUGAGGUACGAAGACUAAUAGCAAACUCUACACAUUCACUCAUUGGUGGGCUCCUGUAGAGAUUGCUGAUGGGCUUCAAAGCUAAAAUUGAAUUUGGAUAGUAUAUCUUCUCACCAUCAUAUCUCAAAAACGUUGUAGUCAAUAUAUUCAUCUCAUCAACGACCAUCUGUACACCAUCAAUAACACAACGAUCACCAACA